AACAAAUGAAAAAAACAAACCAAAGUAAAACACAAUCCAACUCACCACUCUGGUUAACAGCUGGUUUUAAAUAUGAGAGUUAAGCUUUCAAGGUCUUCAUUCUUUAAAUGUAAUUCUUUAAGCAGAGUCUCUAUAAACUGUGUGAACACCACGUUUUCCUGAGAAUGCUUCUGAAUGCCAAGAAUCGGGGUCAGUCUGAAAAAAACAAAAAUAUUAAAUGCAUAUCCACAAAAUAAGAAGGACUAAGGGGGCUCCUGCCUUCUACAUGGCAGAGGGAAUUUUGUUAAAUUGGAGAGACUUCAUCUAUCUGCUAUGACAAAACCCCCUGAGACAGAAGGCUUUACUAAUAAAAGCAGAGGAGAAAUCUCAGGAAAAGACUGAAAGAUCAAGCAUAUUGUUAAGUAUGGAAAUAAACCUAAAAGCCUGAAUCUAUAACAUGUUCUUCAUUACCCCAGAAAAAGCCACCAAGUUCUUCUCAGAAAUGAAAAUGAAGUAUUUCCACUUGGGGAAAGGAGGCUGUGCAAAGAAGCUUGGAGGUACACAAGAAAAACAAAAAGAAGGAAUCCAAGCCUAACACUAAAGAAAGCCAUCAAUCACAUGGGAAGAGAGCAAAGGAAGAAAUGGACAGUGAAGAACUAUUAAAAACCCCAGAAAACAAAUAACAAAAUAGCAAUAAGGCCAUACCUACCAAUGAUUACUUUAAUGUUUAUUUAUUUUUGACAGAGAGAGAGAGACAGGGCAUGAGCGGGGGAGGGGCAGAGACCAAUGAUUACUUUAAAUGUGUAUGUCCUAAAUGCUCCCAUCAAAAGACAUAGGGUGAUUGGAUAAAAAACCAAACCCAUCUAUUAUGCUGCUUAUAAGAGACUCACAUCUGAUCUAAAGACACAGAUUGAAAGUAAAGGGAUGGAAAAACAUAUAACCAUGCAAAUGAAAGUGGAAAAAAAAAAUGAGGGUAGCAAUACACUUUAAAACAAAGACUGUAACAAGAGACAAAGAAGGGCAUUACAUAGUGAUAAAGGGAUCGAUCCAACAAGUGGAUAUAACAACUAUAAAUUGUAAAUCCAGGAACACCUAAAUACAUAAAGCAAAUAUUAACAGACAUAAAGGGACAAAAUAACAGAAUACAAUAAUAGUAGAGGACUUUAAUUACUUACUAUUGAUGUAAGGAUUCCACUUACAUCAAUGGAUAGAUCAUCCGGACAGAAUGAGCUCCUCCCUGGCUCAUACUCUUUCUUUCUCUUUCUCUCCCUCAAGAUAAAUAAACUUAAAAAAAAAAAAAAAA